ACAGACCCCCGGAUGCAGCUGCGGCGGAAGGCGCGUCCUGUUGGCUACUCCCGGUUUUCCUCUGCGUUUCUCCGCCUCGGAGACGCCGCAGUAAUAACGGGCCCACCAGCUACUGACGAGCUCACUCAGAGAUGCUUUACUUGCGCACACCUAACUAAUUGCCCUGUAAGGACGAUAGCUGUGAGUAGGCCUUGUACCUGUGGAACCAAGGAAACGUCUGUAAGUGGCCCUAGGUUCCGAGCUCCUUCUUGGAAGAGUCAGUAUUAACACUAGCCUGCGUGAAAGCCCACUCUUCCACGAAUACGUAUAUAUUAAAUAUAUGGAAAUAGAGAGGGGAGUGGUGGCGCACGACUUUAAUCCCAGCCCUGGUGUAGUCUACAGAGCGAGUUCCAGAGCAGCAAGGGAAGAUAACCCCUGUCUCAAACAAACAAAAAGAAAAAAGUCAUAUAUGUAUGUAUGGGGCUCUUGUGAGUUUUGCUUGAAUACCUUCAGUACUUUAAAGAAUAAAAACUUAAUGGGCUGGAAAGAUGGCUCGGGUGUUAAAAGCACUGGCUGCUCUUCCUGAGUUCAAUUCCCACACCCACACGGCAGUUCACAACUAUCUGUUACCUCCAGUUCCAGGGAAUCAUAUACUCGGUGUACAGAUGGAUACAUAGACAGAACACUCAUUCACAUAAAAUAAAACUGCCAGGGUUGCUGGUGCAGACCUGUAACCCCAGUGCUGAGGAUAGGAACACAGUCAGUCUAGCCUAUUCAGUGAGCUCCAGGCCAGUGAGAAACCUUGUAUUAAAAGAGGUAGACAGAGACCAUAGAGACCACGUUCCCAAAGACCACGUGUCCAGCUGAACCAAUCUGCCUCCAUCUUAGGCUGAAUUCAGAAAUUCAGAAGCUGGAUCCUGCCCUCUGGCCCUCUGGGACUGAGGAAUUGUACCUUAGGGGUGCACACCUUGGAGAAAGCACACACCUCCAGUUUGUUGGACAGCAGGAUCAAAAACCAACCCACCAACACCUUAAAAACAUAUGUAUUUAUUUUAUGGAGGCAUCCUCUGAUAAAGAAUGCUAAGACCUUACCAAAGAUUUCACAGGGACACAGAAGACAAGCAGGGAAUGAAGAUCCAGCCUGCAACCAUCUUAGGCUUAAAAGCCAUCUUAUCAUAAAGACAAAGGAGGUCCAUUCCUAUUUAUGAUUAAACUUCUGUUUUUCAAG
rnacentral:lncRNA from 1 species